CACCACAAGUAGAUGAAGCUGCCAGCAUGAUCUGAAAGCUAUGCUGCAUCUUGAUCUUGAUGGUCAUCUGCAUCAAGGUUGAAGAACAUGCCCGGCAAUCAGGUCAUGUGGCAGCUUCAUUUUCUCAUGGU
rnacentral:pre_miRNA from 1 species